AGUACAUUUGAUCCAAACUUUCACUGAAUUUUUUUCAACGAACCUGUUUUAAAGACAAUUAUUUUUUCAAGUUGUCAAACUUCAUUUUGAUAAAAUUUAAUGUUCCUUGUUAAAGGUAUUUUAUUAACAUUAAAUAAGGAUAUAUUUUCAGUUGUAUGUCUGAUGCAUCUUCAAAAUGGGAGCUUUGUUUUUUCUAAAAGAUUUGAAUGCUUUUUGUAUAUCAGAGAUUAAAUUGCUUAGAUAUUGUAGCAUACCAUACUUCUCUCUUAUUGAGAAAGAAAGCUGAAAUAAUCAUAGAUCAUACAAGAAAAAUCUAUUUGCUGUUGUCUGCUUCCUUUUAAGGCCACCCCCUCAGUUUUAAAUUUUUCCAUGUUUGAAAGCUUUAUAGUUUGGCAAAUGUACUAAUAUCUUAUAUUUUUUUGAAUUUAAGGGAGAAUUUGAGAUGUCUUGGAAUUUAAUGAACAAGGUGCCAUCAAGGGUAAACUGCUUGAUGUCAAUAAACAAUAUACUGUUUGUGAAAUACACCUGCAAGAAGGGCAAAGGGCUAGCAUUUAAGAUGUCUUGGAAUUGAAUGAAUAAGGUGCCGUUAAGAGCUGGAUGUCCAUGAGCAAUUAUCUACUGUCUGUGAAGUUCAUCUGCAAGACAUGCAAAGGGUAAACUGCUAGUAGUCUUCUGGAAACAAAAAUCUGCUGGUUGUGAAAGUCACCCCAAAAUCAUUCAAAGGGCAAAUGCUGGCUGUCCAGAAACAAUUAGCUGCUGUUUGUGAAAGUCACCAGCUAAACUUUCAAAGAUGUUGGCGAAAAGAGAGCAAAUGCGAGGAAGAAGCAACCCAAUCAAUUAAACGAAGAUGAUGCCAAAUGUUUUCUGCAUAAUUUCAUUUAGACUUAACAGCCAAAAGGCUAAAGUCAUUUAGAAACUAGAAAUUCAUCAUCAUGAACCGUGGUCCACAUGUAGAAAAGCAAAGAAUCGUUAAUCGGACGGAAACCUUCCAAAUCGCUAGCCAGUUUCAAAAACAUGCCCAGAGAAGGCUUUAAGGUCUUUGAAGACUUUGAAGAGGACUUUGAAGAAGCAGAAAGACGUUUUGGUCCACUCUGCAGUUUUGCAAAGAACAAGAAGCAGCAAAAAGACGUCAAAUUGAGAUCCAGCUACCAGCAAAAGACGAGAAAGUUGUCGUGCUAGACUUUGGAAACUACUUGCAAAAGAGAACAAGAAAAGGCAUUUGUCCAGGUGCCCCAGAACAAUUUGUAUUGAUAAUAGCGGGACAUUUCUUUUAGUGUAAAUUACUGUAAAUGUAUUUUUGGUACAUGUUUCUGGUUCUUCUGGAGAAUUAUUGCAGCAUUUCAAGCACAGAAAAUUCUUGUAGUGUAAUUUGUUUUAAUGUUUGGCCUUUUUCCAAUGGUCAGCAUCUCAACUGUUUUUUUUGCUAGAAAACCACAUGUUUAUCUGGAAAAAACGAUCGAGCAGCAUUUCGAGCACAUGUGAUAUGCCGGAAAAAUUAGAACUUUAGAACUUUUUCCAAUUUUCUUCUAGAGAGUUAUUGCAGCGAUUCUUGUAGAGUGUUAUUACGUAGAACUUUAUUUUGAUGUUUGUUAUUACGUAGAACUUGUUUUUUAAAUCACAUGUCUCCAAGACUUCUUCAGGAGAGUUACUGCAACAAGAAAUGGCAGAAGAGCAUAUCACGUACAUCUUAGAACUUAUCGGCUUGUAGGCUAUUUGGAAAUCGCUUUUUAUUUUGUAGGCCAUGUUUACCUGUGUCUUACAUUUUUUGCGUCUCUCUCUCGUAUACUUAAACAAAAACACAACAUUUGCGUCUCUCUCGUAUACUUAAACAAAAACACAACA